AAGGAUUGUAUCUAGUGACAGCUGCAAGGGGAAUUCUGUAAGUAGAAUGCAAUCUGUGAAUAGAAACACAGCCAGCAAUUUGAGAAAUAAUGUUACAGUUUCUCUGUGAUUUAGUGACCUAUUUUAUUUCUGAUUAUAGUCACUAAGAGCAGCAGCUCCAAUGAUAUGAUGGCACUGAUGCAGUCACCUGGUGAUUCCCAGCCUCAGGGUGCUCCUGGAGUGCUCCUCACACCAAUGCAGAACAGGUCUGCAGAUCAGGGUGUAGGUUUGGGGCAUAUCUUUCACUUUGUCCUUUGUGGUGGAGAGCCAGUUUUACCACCAAUGCUUCCAGGAUAAGCGACACAAAUAUUUGGAGACCAUCAAAAGCAACAGUCUAUCUGUGCCUAUCUGAGAGGUGAUGACCAGGACAUUCUGUCCUGGCUGAUGGAUGAUGCUCAGGCUUCUCUUUCCAAAGUUAUUUUUCACUAGACCUUAAAACUCUGCCAUCAGUGUGGAAAGGGGUUUGGUUUCAUCCUGCCAGCAGAAUAAUCACUGCACAGCACUUAGACUGCUGCAGAGUCCCAGUGGCACCAAGGGCUCUACAGUCUUUUUGCCAGGUUGAUGGAUAAUGAAAAUGCAAGUGAGAGGGAGCCUCGACACUUCACAACUUCAAGUGACUCAGAGCCUACUACCUACUCCAGGAGGCUGGUCUUCUCCAACUGUUAAUAAAGAGAGAGGCAAACCUUUCCAGAAUGCAAUUCAGAAGAGGAAUCAAAAUUAAAUAUAUAGAAGUACAUAUGUCCCUGACAGCUGUUUACUUUGUAGAGAAGUGUACUGUAUUUUACCUUCACUAACAUCUUGGUGUCUGAGGUAACAUGGAGUCAUUCUGAGGGAAUGCUGGCCUGUUAUAGGAAUGAGACGAAGCCCUUUUUAUGGAAAGCCUUGUUAUACCAGCAUUAUCCACUUGCUUGAAGUACUGCAUUACCCUAAUAUCUGCAUAUUCAUUUCAAAACCAGCCUAAUCUGCCUUGCAUCCAAAUAUACAAGUCUCCAGAUGUAAUGUUUCCACUCAUAUUCUCCAGUACUCAUAACUAUAUAUAUGGGAUGAAUAUUCAACACUGUAAUCUUGGCAUUCCCCAGACUAGUUUAGAGAUGACAAAUAUAACUUUUGAUCACACUCUGUUCAUGUGGAAAUGUUAGAACAGCUGCUGCUAUUUCAGUUCUCACAGGCAGGGAGUUAAAUUACGCACAAAUAGACACAGCAGGUGUAACCCAGAAGGCAGAAGUGCUGGGAGGUGUGCUGUGUCACCUGUCUCCCCACAGACAUGAGGGCUUGCAAAGGGGUAGCUGGAAGACAAUCCAUGAAGCCGCCCUCUGUAGUGGUUACAUUAGGGGAAACACCUCCCUCUCAACCCCUGCCCCUUCAGAGCUGGAAUCAAGGUUUCUGGAGCAUCUUCAUGCUUUUUUUUUUUUCUACUAAAGAAGUAGAGAUGAAAAUCUUAUCCAAGGAGUUUACUUGACCAUAAGAAGAACUCAAGGUCAAAAUAUGGUGAAAUAGAUAAAUCUUGCUGUAACCAUUUUGAAAUAUGACUCAUGCAGGUUAGAGAAUGGGAAAGUAAAACACAUUCAUGUUAGCAUUUAGAGUUUUAUUCUGAUCCCUUCUUUCCUUGACAAGUCUCCUGAUCCUACCCCAUCAACUAUCGAUAGACAGUGACCUUCAGUUUCUCAUUUUUGCUGAUCACUGAAAGACCUUGAUUGCAAGAGGAGGGAGUCUGUAUUCCAGCAGAACAACUGUGGGCACACGAGAUGGCUAAUGACUUGGCAUUGAGAUGUUCAGCCUCAAGGUAGAAGGAAGUGAAAUGUUGAGGAAA